rnacentral:rRNA from 1 species
UGACGAGCUUGCUCUGAUUUGAUUUUAUCUGACAAAGAGUGGCGAACGGGUGAGUAACACGUGGGUAACCUACCUCUUAGCAGGGGAUAACAUUUGGAAACAAGUGCUAAUACCGUAUAAUACCAACAACCGCAUGGUUGUUGGUUGAAAGAUGGUUCUGCUAUCACUAAGAGAUGGACCCGCGGUGCAUUAGCUAGUUGGUAAGGUAACGGCUUACCAAGGCAAUGAUGCAUAGCCGAGUUGAGAGACUGAUCGGCCACAAUGGGACUGAGACACGGCCCAUACUCCUACGGGAGGCAGCAGUAGGGAAUCUUCCACAAUGGGCGCAAGCCUGAUGGAGCAACGCCGCGUGUGUGAUGAAGGGUUUCGGCUCGUAAAACACUGUUAUAAGAGAAGAACGGCACUGAGAGUAACUGUUCAGUGUGUGACGGUAUCUUACCAGAAAGGAACGGCUAAAUACGUGCCAGCAGCCGCGGUAAUACGUAUGUUCCAAGCGUUAUCCGGAUUUAUUGGGCGUAAAGCGAGCGCAGACGGUUAUUUAAGUCUGAAGUGAAAGCCCUCAGCUCAACUGAGGAAUGGCUUUGGAAACUGGAUGACUUGAGUGCAGUAGAGGAAAGUGGAACUCCAUGUGUAGCGGUGAAAUGCGUAGAUAUAUGGAAGAACACCAGUGGCGAAGGCGGCUUUCUGGACUGUAACUGACGUUGAGGCUCGAAAGUGUGGGUAGCAAACAGGAUUAGAUAC